UACGGGGGGAGCAAGCGUUGCUCGGAAUUACUGGGCGUAAAGGGCGCGUAGGCGGCCACCGCAAGUCGACUGUGAAAUCUCCGGGCUUAACCCGGAAAGGUCAGCCGAUACUGCGGGGCUAGAGUGCAGAAGGGGCAACUGGAAUUCUCGGUGUAGCGGUGAAAUGCGUAGAUAUCGAGAGGAACACCUGCGGCGAAGGCGGGUUGCUGGGCUGACACUGACGCUGAGGCGCGAAAGCUAGGGGAGCGAACGGG
rnacentral:rRNA from 1 species